UACGUAGGGUGCGAGCGUUAAUCGGAAUUACUGGGCGUAAAGCGUGCGCAGGCGGUUCGUUAAGUCAGAUGUGAAAGCCCCGGGCUCAACCUGGGAACUGCAUUUGAAACUGGCGGGCUUGAGUAUGGCAGAGGGGGGUGGAAUUCCGCGUGUAGCAGUGAAAUGCGUAGAGAUGCGGAGGAACACCGAUGGCGAAGGCAGCCCCCCUGGGCCAAUACUGACGCUCAGGCACGAAAGCGUGGGGAGCAAACAGG
rnacentral:rRNA from 1 species